GUCGGUUUGGCAUACACCCAUCUUUAUCUUUGACCCAACUUCAUCUCUCGCUCUACUUCAUGUAUUCUAAUCUAACCUAACUGCGCCUCUCUCUUUCUUCUUCCUCUUCUCCUCGAUUAUGAGCGAAGCUUUGGUAGAUUAUCCCCGAAAGUAGUUUCUUUAUUUCAUUUAUUUGUUUUUCAAUAGUAUUAUUCAGUCAUACAAAAGUUGAGGAGAGAAUUGUGGAGUAUUCUUCCUCUUCAGAGUUUAUAUGACUGAAUUCUACCAAACCUAACCCUGAAUUACUCAAAUCACACACACAAUUGUACGUGUUUCAUUAUCUUCUCAACCCAUAGUUGUUCAGAUUUAUCCGUAUAACGAACCCAAUUUUCGUUUUACCUUCUUAAACCCUACUUUCGUUUUGUUUUUUCCCCUAUAGAAGUAUAAGGUAAUGAUCUUCCAACCUUCAAUUUUCCAUUUAUUCUUUAUUAUUAUUAAUUUCUUCACUAAACAUGUUAUCCCUAGAUGAUGUUUGCAGAUGUUUAUUAGUAAUUGAUGUUGUCCUGACCCUGACAAGCAGACAAGGUUUCAAUUUUAUUUAUUUUUUUGGUGUAGUUUUGAAGAUCCUUUCAUGUUGAAGAUUUAUGUUUAAGAUAGAAUGACUGGUUAUGGAAGUGGAUGGUCACCUCAUGCAAAUUUCCGUUGUGGUGUGGGAUGUUUCCAAUACUCUGGGAUGGUGUUGGUGGGUAGGUGUUGAGGGAGGAGGAUCAUGUUAGAAGGAGUGUUUUUUUGGUGCCUAUGGAGGAUUAAGAGGUGGUGGUGUGGAUACUGCAGGCGAUGGUGGACUAUCAAAGGCUGUUGUUGGAGGUAGAGGCAUAAGUGGUCGAGGUGAUGGUGGUGGGCAAUUCCCUCACAAAGAAUUCGUUAAAAGGCAUUUUGACCCAAACUAAUACGGAUGAUUCAUAAGAGAAGUCAGGAGCUUGCUCAUGCAGCUGGAUAGAGGUGGUCGCAAGCAGUAUUAUUAAUAAUGGUAUCUUAGGAUCUAGAGGACAUCAGUUUUCUGCUGCCAUAACUACUAGUGCAUACGCAGAUGAAUUUGACACUUCUGUUGCAAAACUGUACAUUGCAGUUAUCUUAAUCCAUCUUCAUGAGUACAAAAAUGCGUUGUCGGUUUCGGGACCAUUAUAUGAGAAUGCUGAACCCCUUGAUGAGAUAACUGCUCUUCAUAUCUGCCUUCUGUUACUGGAUGUUGCAUUAGCCUCCAAUGCAACAAAAGCUGCUGAAGUUUCUAGCCUUUAUGCCUUUCUAAUUGGAUUCUCGGGGUAUCAUGUAUUCUAUACGAAGCGUUUAUGAAUAGUGAUGCAGAAAGCAUAUCCGACUUAGUUGUCGGAUUGGGUAGUCUGUGGUUCUCAGUUUGGUCUUUUGCUUUUUGAGGAGCUUCAGCUUGAAAUCAUAUAUUCUGUUUGAAGCGUUUAUGAAUAGUGAUGCAGAAAACACAUCAGACUUGGUUGCCGGAUUGGGUAGUCUGCGGUUUUCAGUUUGGUCUUUGCUUUUUGAGGAGCUUCAAGAAGAAAGCAGUUGCAUCUGCAUAUGUUGAUAGAGCAAGGCCUCCAAAUGAUGGUGAUUAUGACUGACGUUAUGCGAUAGAGUUGGAAUACUUGUUUCAAGAGGUGAAAUGAUUUGUGGCCAAAGCUUAUGCAACUCCUGUAAGAGAGCGACCAAAUUAGAGUCGCAAGGUGACUGGAUCGAAUUAGUUUUAAUGUUCUAUAUGUAGCUUUAGGUUGCUAGUAUACUUUGGAUUUGUAAUCGGAGAUUAUAUUUCUUAUUUGUUAUUUUUGGUAAUGUUAUUUUUGGUAAUUAAUAAAGUUAAUUUCAACCGAUUAUGAUCA